GGGAAUCAUUACUGAUUCCAAACAGACUGAUCCAAAUUCUCCAAAUCAUCCAUCCGCAAACACGAGGAAGGGGAAAAGCUAGGGUUGUGGUUUACUGGCACAUCUGACUGACGGAAAUGGCGAUGAGGAAGUUCUACAGCGAGAUCAGGGGGCUGAAGGUGAGCGAGGUGCCAAAUCACGUGAAGCCGAUGCUCUCCAUUGACUUUGUGAAGAACGCGGUCAAGAAGGGGUUGGACAACUACCACGCCAAGUACAUCCAGACCAGCUCGAUCGAUCCUCUCUACCACGUCUGCUUUGGCGGCAUGAUCUUCUCCUACCUCGUCGCUCUCCCCGAGGAGCGACGCCACCUCGAGCAUCAGCAGCACCACGCCAAGGAACACGGCGGUGCCCACUGAUGGCCACUGCUUCGUCAAAGCUUGAGUGGUUGAUUUCGUGAAGGACAAGUGUUGGUGUCCAUCGAUUGAUUAUGCUUCUUUUUUCUUUUUUCUUUUUUUACUUUUGGAUGCACCCUAUUGGAUACUGAGUUGUACUGUGGGGCACAAUUAACUGAGAGAAUAAGUGUUUUUAAAAACUUCUUUUGUUAUCAUAUUGACAGUAUAAAUCUGCGCGCUUUCAACCCA